GAGUUUGAUCAUGGCUCAGGAUGAACGCUAGCGACAGGCUUAACACAUGCAAGUCGAGGGGCAGCGGGGGCGUAGCAAUAUGCCUGCCGGCGACCGGCGCACGGGUGAGUAACACGUAUGUAACCUGCCCUAUGCAGGGGGAUAACCCGGAGAAAUCCGGCCUAAUACCGCGUAACACCUUUUGGGAGCAUUCUCGGGAGGUUAAAGGAGAGAUCCGGCAUAGGAUGGACAUGCGUCGCAUUAGGUAGACGGCGGGGUAACGGCCCACCGUGCCGACGAUGCGUAGGGGUUCUGAGAGGAAGGCCCCCCACACUGGUACUGAGACACGGACCAGACUCCUACGGGAGGCAGCAGUGAGGAAUAUGGGUCAAUGGCCGAGAGGCUGAACCAGCCAAGUCGCGUGAGGGAAGAAUGUCCUAAGGAUUGUAAACCUCUUUUGUCGGGGAGCAAAAAAGCUCUGCGGAGUCGUAUUGAGAGUACCCGAAGAAAAAGCAUCGGCUAACUCCGUGCCAGCAGCCGCGGUAAUACGGAGGAUGCGAGCGUUAUCCGGAUUUAUUGGGUUUAAAGGGUGCGCAGGCGGCGUGUCAAGCAAGCGGUAAAAUAGCGGGGCUCAACCCCGUCGAGCCGUUUGAACUGGCGCGCUUGAGUUCAGGCGAGGUAGGCGGAAUUCGUGGUGUAGCGGUGAAAUGCAUAGAUAUCACGAAGAACUCCGAUUGCGAAGGCAGCUUACCAGUCUGCGACUGACGCUCAGGCACGAAAGUGUGGGUAUCGAACAGGAUUAGAUACCCUGGUAGUCCACACAGUAAACGAUGAGCGCUAGGUGUCCGGGUCGCAUGAGACUUGGGUGCCCGAGCGAAAGCGUUAAGCGCUCCACCUGGGGAGUACGCCGGCAACGGUGAAACUCAAAGGAAUUGACGGGGGCCCGCACAAGCGGAGGAACAUGUGGUUUAAUUCGAUGAUACGCGAGGAACCUUACCCGGGCUCAAACGACUCAGGAAUAUAUUGGAAACGAUGUAGCCAGCAAUGGUCUGAGUCGAGGUGCUGCAUGGUUGUCGUCAGCUCGUGCCGUGAGGUGUCGGCUUAAGUGCCAUAACGAGCGCAACCCCUACCGCCAGUUGCCAACGGGUAAAGCCGGGAACUCUGGCGGGACUGCCGGCGCAAGCUGCGAGGAAGGCGGGGAUGACGUCAAAUCAGCACGGCCCUUACGUCCGGGGCGACACACGUGUUACAAUGGCAGGUACAGCGGGAAGCCACCUGGUGACAGGGAGCGGAACCCGAAAGCCUGUCUCAGUUCGGAUUGGAGUCUGCAACUCGACUCCAUGAAGCUGGAUUCGCUAGUAAUCGCGCAUCAGCCAUGGCGCGGUGAAUACGUUCCCGGGCCUUGUACACACCGCCCGUCAAGCCAUGGGAGCCGGGGGUGCCUGAAGUACGUGACCGCGAGGAGCGUCCUAGGGCAAAACUGGUGACUGGGGAUAAGUCGUAACAAGGU
rnacentral:rRNA from 1 species